UACGGAGGGUGCAAGCGUUGCUCGGAAUUAUUGGGCGUAAAGGGUAGGUAGGUGGUCUCAUUUGUCUGGGGUGAAAGCCUUGAGCUUAACUCAAGAAGUGCCCCAGAAACGGUGAGACUGGAGUCCUGGAGAGGGUCGUGGAAUUCCCGGUGUAGCGGUGAAAUGCGUAGAGAUCGGGAGGAACACCAGAGGCGAAAGCGGCGACCUGGACAGGUACUGACACUCAAAUACGAAAGCGUGGGGAGCAAACAGG
rnacentral:rRNA from 1 species